AUUGAACGCUGGCGGCAUGCCUUACACAUGCAAGUCGAACGGCAGCGGGGGAGAAGCUUGCUUUUCCUGCCGGCGAGUGGCGAACGGGUGAGUAAUACAUCGGAACGUGCCCUGUAGUGGGGGAUAACUAGUCGAAAGAUUAGCUAAUACCGCAUACGACCUGAGGGUGAAAGUGGGGGACCGCAAGGCCUCAUGCUAUAGGCGCCGCCGAUGUCUGAUUAGCUAGUUGGUGGGGUAAAGGCCUACCAAGGCGACGAUCAGUAGCUGGUCUGAGAGGACGAUCAGCCACACUGGGACUGAGAAACGGCCCAGACUCCUACGGGAGGCAGCAGUGGGGAAUUUUGGACAAUGGGCGAAAGCCUGAUCCAGCAAUGCCGCGUGUGUGAAGAAGGCCUUCGGGUUGUAAAGCACUUUUGUCCGGAAAGAAAUGGCUCUGGUUAAUACCUGGGGUCGAUGACGGUACCGGAAGAAUAGGGACCGGCUAACUACGUGCCAGCCGCCGCAGUAA
rnacentral:rRNA from 1 species